GAGUUUGAUCCUGGCUCAGGACGAACGCUGGCGGCGCGCCUAACACAUGCAAGUCGAACGGAGCUGAGAGGAGCUUGCUUUUCUUAGCUUAGUGGCGAACGGGUGAGUAACGCGUGAGUAACCUGCCCUGGAGUGGGGGACAACAGUUGGAAACGACUGCUAAUACCGCAUAAGCCCACGAUCCGGCAUCGGAUUGAGGGAAAAGGAGCAAUCCGCUUUGAGAUGGCCUCGCGUCCGAUUAGCUAGUUGGUGAGGUAAUGGCCCACCAAGGCGACGAUCGGUAGCCGGACUGAGAGGUUGAACGGCCACAUUGGGACUGAGACACGGCCCAGACUCCUACGGGAGGCAGCAGUGGGGAAUAUUGCACAAUGGGGGAAACCCUGAUGCAGCGACGCCGCGUGAAGGAAGAAGUAUCUCGGUAUGUAAAGCUCUAUCAGCAGGGAAGAUAAUGACGGUACCUGACUAAGAAGCUCCGGCUAAAUACGUGCCAGCCGCCGCGGUAAUAC
rnacentral:rRNA from 1 species